rnacentral:rRNA from 1 species
AAUAGAUACCCUGGUAGUCCACGCCGUAAACGAUGAGUGCUAAGUGUUAGGGGGUUUCCGCCCCUUAGUGCUGCAGCUAACGCAUUAAGCACUCCGCCUGGGGAGUACGGUCGCAAGACUGAAACUCAAAGGAAUUGACGGGGGCCCGCACAAGCGGUGGAGCAUGUGGUUUAAUUCGAAGCAACGCGAAGAACCUUACCAGGUCUUGACAUCCCACUGACCGCUAUGGAGACAUAGCUUUCCCUUCGGGGACAGUGGUGACAGGUGGUGCAUGGUUGUCGUCAGCUCGUGUCGUGAGAUGUUGGGUUAAGUCCCGCAACGAGCGCAACCCUUGUUCUUAGUUGCCAUCAUUAAGUUGGGCACUCUAAGGAGACUGCCGGUGACAAACCGGAGGAAGGUGGGGAUGACGUCAAAUCAUCAUGCCCCUUAUGACCUGGGCUACACACGUGCUACAAUGGACGGUACAAACGGUCGCCAACCCGCGAGGGGGAGCUAAUCCGGAUAAAAACCCGUUCUCAGUUCGGAUUGUAGGCUGCAACUCGCCUA